UAGCUGAGAUAUGGCAUUUUUGAUGCCCAUUUUUGGCCUCAAAAACGGACGUCGAAAACGACUUUUUUAGGAUUUUCAAAGUGCUCUCAUUCCCUUAGUUCUGCUCGGAUCCUGUUAUAACCCGAUGUUUUCGUAAUCUAGGUGACCCAAAUAAGACGCUGGUAUACUUAGUUUGAUUUCGACAAAAAUCAAUUUUUGGUGAAAAAGUUCGAUACGGGGGGGUAUACCCGAAAAAUGAAAAAACCCAAACUUUGAAGGUCGAUAUCUCGGCUUCUAUGGGAGCUAUCGGGAAAAUUUUAACGGUUUUGUCUUAGUUUCGUCGUUGUGAAUCCAACGAGACCACCCACAAGGUCCUAGCUUUUCUAGUAGCUGAGAUAUGGCAUUUUUGAUGCCCAUUUUUGGCCUCAAAAACGGACGUCGAAAACGACUUUUUCAGGAUUUUCAAAGUGCUCUCAUUCCCUUAGUUCUGCUCGGAUCCUGUUAUAACCCGGUGUUUUCGUAAUCUAGGUGACCCAAAUAAGACGCUGGUAUAGUUAGUUUGAUUUCGACAAAAAUCAAUUUUUGGUGAAAAAAUUCGAUACGGGGGGGUAUACCCGAAAAAUGAAAAAACCCAAACUUUGAAGGUCGAUAUCUCGGCUUCUAUGGGAGCUAUCGGGAAAAUUUUAACGGUUUUGUCUUAGUUUCGUCGUUGUGAAUCCAACGAGACCACCCGCAAGGUCGUAGCUUUUCUAAUAGCUGAGAUAUGGCAUUUUUGAUGCCCAUUUUUGGCCUCAAAAACGGACGUCGAAAACGACUUUUUCAGGAUUUUCAAAGUGCUCUCAUUCCCUUAGUUCUGCUCGGAUCCUGUUAUAACCCGAUGUUUUCGUAAUCUAGGUGACCCAAAUAAGACGCUGGUAUACUUAGUUUGAUUUCGACAAAAAUCAAUUUUUGGUGAAAAAAUUCGAUACGGGAAGGUAUACCCGAAAAAUGAAAAAACCCAAACUUUGAAGGUCGAUAUCUCGGCUUCUAUGGGAGCUAUCGGGAAAAUUUUAACGGUUUUGUCUUAGUUUCGUCGUUGUGAAUCCAACGAAACCACCCGCAAGGUCCUAGCUUUUCUAGUAGCUGAGAUAUGGCAUUUUUGAUGCCCAUUUUUGGCCUCAAAAACGGACGUCGAAAACGACUUUUUCAGGAUUUUCAAAGUGCUCUCAUUCCCUUAGUUCUGCUCGGAUCCUGUUAUAACCCGGUGUUUUCGUAAUCUAGGUGACCCAAAUAAGACGCUGGUAUACUUAGUUUGAUUUCGACAAAAAUCAAUUUUUGGUGAAAAAAUUCGAUACGGGGGGGUAUACCCCAAAAAUGAAAAAACCCAAACUUUGAAGGUCGAUAUCUCGGCU
rnacentral:lncRNA from 1 species